GUCCCCUUCGUCUAGAGGCCUAGGACACCGCCCUUUCACGGCGGUAACAGGGGUUCGAAUCCCCUAGGGGAU
rnacentral:tRNA from 1 species